rnacentral:rRNA from 1 species
GACGAACGCUGGCGGCGUGCUUAACACAUGCAAGUCGAACGGAAAGGCCCUGCUUGCAGGGUACUCGAGUGGCGAACGGUUGAGUAACACGUGGGUGAUCUGCCCUGCACUUCGGGUUAAGCCUGGGAAACUGGGUCUAAUACCGGAGAGGAGCCAUUUUUAGUGUGAUGGUUGGAAAGUUUUUUCGGUGUAGGAUGAGCUCGCGGCCUAUCAGCUUGUUGGUGGGGUAAUGGCCUACCAAGGCGGCGACGGGUAGCCGGCCUGAGAGGGUGGACGGCCACAUUGGGACUGAGAUACAGCCCAGACUCCUACGGGAGGCAGCAGUGGGGAAUAUUGCACAAUGGGCGCAAGCCUGAUGCAGAGACGCCGAGGGGGGGAUGACGGCCUUCGGGUUGUAAACUCCUUUCGCUAGGGACGAAGCUUUUUGUGACGGUACCUAGAUAAGAAGCCCCGGCUAACUACGUG